rnacentral:rRNA from 1 species
AUUGAACGCUGGCGGCAGGCCUAACACAUGCAAGUCGAGCGGGGUUUUCGGACCUAGCGGCGGACGGGUGAGUAAUGCGUAGGAAGCUGCCCGAUAGAGGGGGAUACCAGUUGGAAACGACUGUUAAUACCGCAUAAUGUCUACGGACCAAAGUGUGGGACCUUCGGGCCACAUGCUAUCGGAUGCGCCUACAUGGGAUUAGCUAGUUGGUGAGGUAAUGGCUCACCAAGGCGACGAUCUCUAGCUGGUUUGAGAGGAUGAUCAGCCACACUGGAACUAGUAACCGGUCAAAACUCCUACGGGAGGCAGCAGUGGGAGAUAUUGGACAAUAGGCGCAAGCCUGAUCCAGCCAUGCCGCGUGUGUGAAGAAGGCCUUCGGGUUGUAAAGCACUUUCAGCGAGGAGGAAGGGGUGUGUGUUAAUAGUACACACCUUUUACGUUACUCGCAGAAGAAGCACCGGCUAACUCUGUGCCAGCCGCCGCAGUAAGAC